UGUCCAGCUGAGUGUUGGAGUUUGGGUUGUUCUCACUGGUUCCCCUGCGUGCUUCCACCACCUUAUAUAACUGCAACACACACACACACACACACACACACACAUCAUAAGUCGAGCCGUCAGACACUAUCAGUAAACACGGCCUGUGUGUGUGUAGCAUGUGCAUCAUUUGUUAUAGCGUGUGUAUGUGUGUGUCAGCACCCUAACAGCUGACACCCUUGUGUGUGUGUGUUUGUGUGAAUAUGGGCGGAGCUAUUCUUACACACAUAAACACACUCUAGGACACACGCUAUGCCAGCUACAGAGAUAGACACACUGUGCUGCCAACUCUUGGGGGUCAAAACCCGUUCAACCAAUCAGAAACCCCGUCCCGUCACCGCAGAGUAGCAACAACAACAACAACAACAACAACAGGACAGUUCUGUGUAGCGUCUGCAGAACAUGCUGCAGCUCGUUGGCCUGUUUAUUAGGUGUUUGUUUAUUUGCUCCUCCCACAGCUGCACUUCCGAGUCGAAAGAGUCGAACAAGUCUCCGCUCCACACACCCACUCCAGGAUCCAUUCCACAGUGCAGGUCCAGGGCAGCCAUCAUGUGCUCUGUGUGUGUGUGUGUGUGUGUGUGUGUUGCACUGAUGUGUCGAGAUCAGCUGUAUAUCAGAAUGGGAGGCUUCUGAAAGAGAGAAAGACAGUGAAAUAGAGAGGGUCAGUAUUCUAAACCCCGGGCGGUGUUUAUUCUGCUCUGUGUCUUCCUUCUGACCGACAUGUCAGUGUUUCCUGAGAGAAGGGAGGAAAAGAGAAGAAAGUAGGAAAUUUGUAAAGGGGGCAAAGUGCGAAGUUAAGAAAGAGGGGAAAAAAGAAACAAAAGGAAGGUAGAAAAGGUAAAGAAGGUAAAGGGUUAAAAAAAAUUGGAGCGAGACCGUAAUGGAGCAAGAAAAGUGGAAUGGGAAAGGGGAAAAGGGAUGAAAGGGGAAGGGUAAAGGAAAAAAAGAAAGAGUAAAAAGGACCAGAAAAAAAUGUGCAAAAGGGAAAUAGAGGACAUUAUGAACAGGGGAAAAAAAGUUGGAAAAAGGAAAAAUAUCAGAAAGGAGGAGAGAAAAAGGAAAAGGGAAAAUGUAGAAGGAGGAAAAUAGGAGGCAGACAUCAGGAAAGGGGGAAAGGAAAACCUAAAAAUAGGAAAUGGGAGAAAGGUCAGAAAGAGUAAAGGAGGAAAAGAGUGGUGGGGAAAUGGGAAAAGAGUCAAUAGUAAUGAUGGGAACAAAUGGGUUAAAAAGAAACAAAAAUAAAGAAAUUAGGCAAGGAGGCAAAAUGAGAAAAGAAUAAAAGAGGUGAAUGGGGGGAAAAUAAUGGAGAAAAGGGGGAAAAGGAAAAGAAAGGAAACGAGAAUAGGGAUAAAAGUGUUUAGAAUCAGUAUUUAGUAUACUAUACUUAAUAAUGAUGUAUAAAGUGUAUGUUAUAUACUAGUAUUUAUAUUAUACACUACAGCAUGUAGUCAUUAUAUAUAACUAUACAUUAUAUAUAUAAUGUUUUACAGAAAGUCAGGAAAUUAGUAUUAAAUCUUCUCCCUCUGUGCGAGUGUGUUUAAAUAACUCGGAUACGCUCAUCUUCCCAGUCAUGAUCUUUGUCAGCUUUUCCUUCACCCGGAUCUGAUGAGGUCAACGACAACCGACAGACGAGGACCUCUGACCUGCUUGGAAGGGAACGGAGUCCACUCCUUUCCAAAAUACCACCCGAGUGUUAUUCCCUAACGUGUGUUUGAUUUAAGGGUGUGUAUGAGCUGUGGGAUCAGAAAUCGGACGCCCAAGUGUCUCCUGGGUGCCGGAUGGGAGCAGCGUGUGAUGUAAGAAGUGUGAAAUUUUUAGACCGCUGUCACUGGGCUAUGGAUCAGAAACCGAGGUGCGGAGAUCAAUUAUAAUAUCGAUGUAGUCAUAUAUAUAUAUAUAUUAUAUAUAUAUAUAUAUGGACAGAGUGAGUCAGAGAGCUGCGAAAUAAACCUCACAUGCUGAUUUCGUGUCAGAACAUGCUUCAAACAUGCCACAUCUGUAAUGGAAUUUUAAUACGUUGUUUUCCUUUUCACUUCUUUUUAUUGUGACAAAUGGAAAAAAUUACUGGCCCAUAAAAGCCACAUGGUUAUUGAUUCACAUUAAUUUGUCAGGUUUUUUAAAUAAUUUUUUUAAAUAUGAGAUUUAGAUCUAUUUUUCGUAUGUCAUCACGACUGGCCAUUUCCUCAUUAGAUAUACAAACACAGCUCGGCUAUUUACACAGAGAUAGCAGACUAAUAUAGCUAGCUAGUCAGGUUGUAUUACAUUAAAGAGCUAAAUGCAACUACGAGAACAUUUGCAAUUUACAAACAAAUAUCACGGGCAAUCAGGACAGCCAGUAACGCACAAGGAGCGACGUGUAGGGCGGGGAAAUAUGACAAAACCAUAUUAAUACUGCGAUACCUUUUGACAAGAUUUUGUUCCGCGACUUUUACGAAACCUUGUCAGUACAAUGAUAAACUUCAUUGUUACUGUUACAGUAUCUCAACAAGUUGCUAACUCAACAUUACAACCUGUUCCUGUAUAAACAUUCAAGGACCAUAAUAUAUUCUCACAUGAUAUAACGAUAUCUCAGUCCGUACCGAAUUUACAGUUCGUACUUCUUACCGGUUGUGAGAUGUGAAGCCUGUCUGCGAGCGUGAAUCCUACACGUCCUCUAUUUGAGAAAUUUCUCCUUUUUUCUCUUUUCAGUCCUCUCUAUAAAGUCCCCUCGAGCUGAGUUUGAAUAUAUUUUAAGAUCAACAGGCCACUUGCUCCUCCUCUCUCCAGAUCAGACAUUUACCGAAUGAUGGUACGGCUGAAGCGGGGAAACUUUAUAGCUCUUCUUUUAUUUCUAUUUCCACCGCGGCGUCACUCGGGCCGGUGUGUCAUAACAGGAGAUUUAUUACCACCAUGUGAGCGCCUGUCGUCACCGACAUCCCCAGGUUCUAAUUACAGCAGCACACAGGGCCUGGUUGGACACGAGUGUGUUUACAUGGCGGAGUUUUCACGUGUAUUUUUAACGCCGCUGUUGCCUUUGCUGUUGCUGCUCUGGUUUAGGACGCGGCAGAUUCCAAGCUCGUGUGAGUUUCUGCACAGGCUGGAGUUUUCCCUCAACAACAGAACCCUAAACACGAUCACACACACAGGCCAUUGGUUAAUGCUUGUUUUUAUUGUUUAUUAUUAUGGAUUUAUUUUGAGAGCAGGAUUAGAGCAAGUCGAUCUGUCUGCAGUCUACACACUUGCUGUGGUUUUAAUUUAGAGCUUGCACGAUAGGUAAUAAGACAAAAAUCGCAGCUUGUCGUGUUUCCCAGAAACUGCAAAGAAGCGUGAACUCGUCUGUCCUGAAGAUGUCGGAAAACUUAAAAGUUACAGCUUUACUGUUACACGGCGCUGACAGUGGAGACACCUUCCAUACAUGUAACAUAAACGUCUCAUUACAGAAAUCCUAAAUUUCUAAAGUUGAAAUGGAUGAAGUGCUUUCCUGUCGUGCAUUCACUCACCUCUGGGACCAAUCAGACUCUUCGUAAGGUAGCAGCAGGAAUUCUGGAAAAUCAUGUACUAAAUCUUGCAGCACUGUGUGUUUGUACACGUGCUUCAAUAACGCACGUUGUUACGGCAAAUGUAAAGAAAAAAUAGUGAAGACGGUACGAUCCUCAAUGACAGCAAUAGUCCACAAAAGUAAUGUAGAUAAAAUUCGAUUUUGCAUUCUGGAAGAAAAUGAAAGGCACUCCGUCUUUGUAAUUUAAGUUCCUGUGGCUCUGGUCAGCAAAACGCUCUGGGGAACGUAGUCCGGUGUCCAUUCUGGGUGCUGCGGUCCCGGUUUUCCUGAGACGCGCGCCUCCUGUAAUUCUGCAUGAACGGAAAACGAGCACAACAUCUACAUACGAACAAAACGAAAGGACAAAAGGUCUGCUAACGAAAGGAUGAGACGGCGAGAUCACAGCACGAAAAAGAGGGUGAAAAGAAAAACGAGCUUGAACAUGGUGGCGUAGGAAAGGGAGGAGAAGAGCAGUAGGAUGAGGAUGAGUAAAAUGAUCGGCUGAAACAUCUGGGCAAAGAAAACAACAAAAAACAAAAACAACAACAACGGUCAGAAUUAAGAAAGAGAUGUGCAUCAAAAACCACAGAGGGAUGUGAGAAAAGACAGGGUCGGGGAAAGAGAGAAAUCGUCAGUGAUGGUUUAAUUCCUGGUGUUAAUGCUGUGCUCUCUGUGGUGCUUGGACCCCUGCUACAGAUUUCUGGAUUGUUCUCAAAAUAAACGUCAUGCUUUUUUUACACACUCUAACCAACUGUUAGAUGAAUAAUGUCC